GAAGCAGGAUAAGUGUGUAUCGGUGCUAUGCCUGUUCAUGCAUUUCUAGCCGAAAGUGUUUCCUGCUAUAGAAAUAUUGGGGAAAGUGGGCAGUUGGGUUGCACGCUAAUUGUAUGGCUAUCUCAACAAUCAUUUUCCUCACAUGC
rnacentral:snoRNA from 1 species